AAAAUGUGAUGAAACAUAAAUAAGAUUGAUACUUACCUUUGUCAUGAUUUUGAAAUUGAUGUAAAGGGUCUUCUCUUCUUUUUGACAAUGACAAAGGGGGAGAAAUGUUGCUAGCUAGCUUACACAAGUCAAGAGAAGAUGCAAACGUACUUCAUGUAGUUUGCUUCAUCUAAAACAUUGUCUCUUGCUAGUUUGUUAUCUUGCAUUUUUGCUAGCUUGCACUUUGUAAGGGAAGC
rnacentral:lncRNA from 1 species